GAUGAACGCUGGCGGCGUGCCUAACACAUGCAAGUCGAGCGAACGGACGAGAAGCUUGCGUCUCUGAUGUUAGCGGCGGACGGGCGAGUAACACGUGGAUAACCUACCUAUAAGACUGGGAUAACUUCGGGAAACCGGAGCUAAUACCGGACAAUAUUUUUAACCGCAUGGUUCAAAAGUGAAAGACGGUCUUGCUGUCACUUAUAGAUGGAUCGGCGCUGCAUUAGCUAGUUGGUAAGGUAACGGCUUACCAAGGCAACGAUGCAUAGCCGACCUGAGAGGGGGAUCGGCCACACUAGAACGGAGACGCGGUCCAGACUACUACGCGAGGCAGCAGAGGGGUAUCUUACGCAAGUGGCGAGAGCAUGGCGGGAAACCGCCGCGUAGGUUGUAGAGGUCUUCGGAUCGUAAAACUCUGUUAUUAGGGUAGAACAUAUGUGUAAGUAACUGUUCACAUCUUGACGGUACCUAAUCAGAAAGCCACGGCUAACUACGUG
rnacentral:rRNA from 1 species